AGUGAACGCUGGCGGUAGGCCUAACACAUGCAAGUCGAACGGCAGCACAGUAAGAGCUUGCUCUUACGGGUGGCGAGUGGCGGACUGGUGAGGAAUACAUCGGAAUCUACUUUUUCGUGGUGGAUAACGUAGGGAAACUUACGCUAAUACCGCAUACGACCUACGGGUGAAAGCAGGGGAUCUUCGGACCUUGCGCGAUUGAAUGAGCCGAUGUCGGAUUAGCUAGUUGGCGGGGUAACGGCCCACCAAGGCGACGAUCCGUAGCUGGUCUGAGAGGAUGAAAAGCCAAAACGGAAACGAGAAAACGUCCAGAAUCCGAAGGGAGGGAGGAGGGGGGAAUAUUUGAAAAUGGGGGGAAGCCUUAAACAGGCAAAACGGGGGGGUGAAAGAGGGCCUUGGGGUGGAAAGGCCUUUUGGUGGGAAAGAAAAGCAGCAGGGUAAUACCCCGCUGGUCUGACGGUACCAAAAGAAUAAGCACCGGCUAACUUCGUG
rnacentral:rRNA from 1 species